UUAUAUCUAUGCGGGUAUAAAAGAUGUGAAAAUAAUUAUAAUAGAACGAGAUCAAUUCAGAAUUCAGAACCGGAAGGAGAAAAUCGUAAUGGAUUGAAAUUAUAAAUGAAAUGAUAAAGUUAUCUCAUUUAUUUUAAUUUGGUUCAAAUUAAAUUGUAGCUGGAAUGAAAGUAAAGCCAGAAUACUUUUGAAAGUAAACCGCAUCUCGACAUUUAAAUCGACGAUCGAUAUUAUUAAACGCGAUAUAAACCAUUUGAACUUCAUCAUAAAAAUCGAAUGUUUUAUGAUUUUAACCAAGU
rnacentral:lncRNA from 1 species